AGAGUUUGAUCCUGGCUCAGGACGAACGCUGGCGGCGUGCUUAACACAUGCAAGUCGAGCGGAGAUACCAGGAAGCGCUUGCGCGGAGAGGUAUUUUAGCGGCGGACGGGUGAGUAACGCGUGAACAAUCUGUCCCAGACAGGGGGAUAACAGAUGGAAACAUCUGCUAAUACCGCAUAAGACCACGUUUUCGCAUGGAAGCGGGGUAAAAGGAGCAAUCCGGUUUGGGGUGAGUUCGCGUCCGAUUAGCUAGUUGGUGGGGUAAAGGCUCACCAAGGCGACGAUCGGUAGCCGACCUGAGAGGGUGAUCGGCCACACUGGAACUGAGAGACGGUCCAGACUCCUACGGGAGGCAGCAGUGGGGAAUAUUGGGCAAUGGGCGAAAGCCUGACCCAGCAACGCCGCGUGAGGGAAGAAGGUUUUCGGAUUGUAAACCUCUGUCCUUGGUGACGAAGGAAGUGACGGUAGCCAAGGAGGAAGCCCCGGCUAACUACGUGCCAGCAGCCGCGGUAAUACGUAGGGGGCAAGCGUUGUCCGGAAUGACUGGGCGUAAAGGGCGUGUAGGCGACCGAUUAAAGUUGGAAGUAGAAAAGUUCUUGGCUUCCAAAGGUGGGAAAUGCUUUUGGAUUAACUGGUGCCUUGGGCGGAAAGAAGGUAAGUGGAAUUCCCCAUGUAGCCGGGAAAAUGCGUAAGAAGAUUGGAGGAACACCAGUGGGAAGGCGACUUUUGGGCCGUAACUGACGCUGAGGCGCGAAAAGCGUGGGGAGCGAACAGGAUUAGAUACCCCUGGUAGUUCCACGCGGUAAACGAUGAAUGCUAGGGUGUAGGGGGUAUCGACCCCUCCUGUGCCGGAGUAAACACAAUAAGCAUUUCCGCCUGGGGAGUACGGCCGCAAGGUUGAAACUCAAAGGAAUUGACGGGGGCCCGCACAAGCAGCGGAGCAUGUUGUUUAAUUCGAUGCAACGCGAAGAACCUUACCAGGUCUUGACAUCGAUCUAAGCCAUUAGAGAUAGUGGGUGCCUUCGGGCAAGAGAAGACAGGUGGUGCAUGGUUGUCGUCAGCUCGUGUCGUGAGAUGUUGGGUUAAGUCCCGCAACGAGCGCAACCCUUAUGAUCAGUUACUAACGGGUAAAGCCGAGGACUCUGAUGAGACUGCCGGGGACAACUCGGAGGAAGGUGGGGACGACGUCAAAUCAUCAUGCCCCUUAUGACCUGGGCUACAAACGUGCUACAAUGGCGGCUACAAAGAGGAGCGAGCGUGCAAAUGUAAGCGGAUCUCAAAAAAGCCGUCCCAGUUCGGAUUGUGGGCUGCAACCCGCCCACAUGAAGUUGGAGUUGCUAGUAAUCGCGAAUCAGCAUGUCGCGGUGAAUACGUUCCCGGGCCUUGUACACACCGCCCGUCACACCAUGGGAGUUGGGAGCACCCGAAGUCAGUGCGCGAACCGCAAGGGAGCAGCUGCCGAAGGUGAGACCGAUGACUGGGGUGAAGUCGUAACAAGGUAACC
rnacentral:rRNA from 1 species